UAGCAUAUCAAUAAGCGGAGGAAAAGAAACUAACAAGGAUUCCCCUAGUAACUGCGAGUGAAGCGGGAAAAGCUCAAAUUUAAAAUCUGGCAGUCUUUGGCUGUCCGAAUUGUAUUCUGGAGAAGCGUUUUCCGUGCUGGACCGUGUACAAGUCUCUUGGAAUAGAGCGUCAUAGAGGGUGAGAAUCCCGUCUUUGACACGGACUACCAGUGCUUUGUGAUGCGCUCUCAAAGAGUCGAGUUGUUUGGGAAUGCAGCUCAAAAUGGGUGGUGAAUUCCAUCUAAAGCUAAAUAUUGGCGAGAGACCGAUAGCGAACAAGUACCGUGAGGGAAAGAUGAAAAGCACUUUGGAAAGAGAGUUAAACAGUACGUGAAAUUGCUGAAAGGGAAACGCUUGAAGUCAGUCGCGUCAUUCAGAACUCAGCCUGGCUAUUGCUUGGUGUAUUUUCUGGUUGACGGGCCAGCAUCAAUUUUGACCGCUGGAAAAAGGCCAUAGGAAUGUGGCACCUUCGGGUGUGUUAUAGCCUAURGUCAUAUACAGCGGUUGGGAUUGAGGACCGCAGCACGCCUUUAUGGUUGGGGUUYGCCCACAUUCGUGCUUAGGAUGCUGGCGUAAUGGCUUUAAACGACCCGUCUUGAAACACGGACCAAGGAGUCUAACAUGCCUGCGAGUGUUUGGGUGGAAAACCCGAGCGCACAAUGAAAGUGAAAGUUGGGAUCCCUGUCGUGGGGAGCACCGACGCCCGGACCAGACCUUCUGUGACGGAUCCGCGGUAGAGCAUGUAUGUUGGGACCCGAAAGAUGGUGAACUAUGCCUGAAUAGGGUGAAGCCAGAGGAAACUCUGGUGGAGGCUCGUAGCGAUUCUGACGUGCAAAUCGAUCGUCAAAUUUGGGUAUAGGGGCGAAAGACUAAUCGAACCAUCUAGUAGCUGGUUCCUGCCGAG
rnacentral:rRNA from 1 species